AUGGGGCUGCCUGGUGCGCCAGGAGCCACACUGCUCGGGGCCUUACGGUCUCCAAGGGAGCUGUCCCUGCUUGGGCUCGAGGGCCCUCGCAUCACGGUGCCCACCUACAUCUGUAGGUUCCCGGGGAUUUCUGCUCCAGCGGCCAAGGCGGCUCCACU
rnacentral:other from 1 species